GUGGAGGGUCUGGUUUUAUCUCUUGGUCUAAUUAUACACCUUAUUUUUUGGUUAUCACGUAAUUUAAGAUCUGCAUCUUGGCUAAAUUUACUGGAUGUCCCACAAAAGGGAUUAUGGGUAACAGCUUCAGGAUAGUAACAGGUGGGAUAAACAACAGCCUUUGAUUUAAGAUCACAUGACUAUGGCCUGAAAGGCGCUCUAAUCAGUCAGCCAGGCCAUAUUUUGGGAUAAUACAAAAGAUCCCUUACAGUUAGGAUGAAGAUCAUCUCUCUUGAACAAUCCAAGCCUUUCCCAAAAAUCAUCCCAGUUGUUCAUAAAGGCUGUGCUUUUAUUUGCACACCAGGUUUCUAGCCAGCAGUGAAGGGAACUCAAUUUUCUAUUAAUCACAUCUUGAUAAGGGAACAGAUACAAUUUAAUUUUGACAUUCUCACCAUAUACCAAGCAUGUGACAAUGAGGACCCUUUAAAUUCUACCAAAGACGAGAACACUGGGGUCUGCUGACAUGCCAUACAGUUCCUCUCUGGACUCAUGGGGUGACUGGUCCUCUUCAUCUCCAGUAGAAUUCUUUAUCCUCCUUCCAAACCCACUCAGACCUCUCAUCCUCCCUGUCAUGUGGCCUCUUGCCGCUCUUCCUCUCCCCAUCCUGCGCUCAGCUACCAGCUGUCAGUAUCAUCUGAGUUUCUAUAUAUUUAAAAGUGUUUAAUGAAUGAAUUCUUUAGUAUUUUCCCUGUAUAUUCUACAUGUUUAUUUUCUGACAUCUAGUUUUGGCUUUGUUGACUAGUUUUCUGACUUUGUCUGUGCAGUUAAUGGAUUUGAUUUGGUCCUUCAUCUCCUGAUCCAUCCAUUUUCUUCUUCCACAGUUCUGACUCUGACUGUUUAAAUGACGUUUACAUGCAGAGGUGCGCUUAGCAUUGAUUGAUGGAUGGAUGGAUGGGCCGUAGAUGCAAAUCCCAAAUUAAAAUAUUUACUUUCUAGUGGCCAUAAAGACAAAAAUGCUUAAAGGCAGGUGUGAUGGGGGACAUGGUGUCCCAAUGUUCAUAGUUUCCUUUACUUGUUUGCAGUCAGAAUUGCAUGUUACCAUCUUCUUCAUUAAACAUAAUGGAUAUUUUUACUCCAAUAAGCACUAAACACAAUGAAGCUCAGCCAACACCAAACAAACAGUAAACCUUCUCCUCUCCUUCCUCCUCCAGCUGAGUGUUGCCCACAGGGUUUCAUGGGAAGUGCAGCCUUGUCAGGGUCAGAUUCAGGAGGCGGUGGGCUCCUUUUAUACUGGACCAAGCACAGCUUCUCAUUACCCAGCAUGACUUAUGGGGAUUCUUCUGAGUUGUCUAGGAUCCUCCACUGACAGUGCGGCCUUGCGACACCCGAGAGGGAUGCACUUCCAGAAUCCACUUCCCAUGAACUCCUGGCACCUUUCUCUUUAUCCCGAAGUCAUGUCAUUGUCUAGCAGGGUGCCUGCCUGUCCUCUGUGUCACGCACACCUAGCAGGUUGUCUUACUUUUGGUAUCAUGUAGUUGUUAAUUUAUUUCUUCUCAAACAGCAAUGGGUGCCACAAUUUAGUAUUGUGUUGUGCGUAAACAUCGCCAAUACUGCCAAUCGUGUAACGUACAUUGCACAACAUUUUCUUUGUCAUUGUUCUGUAUAUAUACAACACUGAUAUUGAUUACACUCUGAGUUUUUAAUCAAAUUUAUUUAAAUCUUGCAUUUUUGCUCAUCAGUACAGGAAGCUAAAAGGCACUUCAUUGAACAAAGUGGUGUUAGAUCUUUACUGCUCUGUUUUCUCAAAUUUGCGUAUUUACAUUUUUAUGACCAGUUUAUGCCCCAAGCCUGACUCUUUAGUGUUCUUUUUCUGUUUGUUCCUUUAUUUUUUAGAUUGUGACUGUAUUUACAGGCAUGUUUAUAAUUAAUUUCAUUAUAGAAAUCAUUUUAGAAUAAUGCUUCUAUUAUUUUCAAACAAAUGUUCUUCAUCUCCUAAAGACAUUAGCAAUUUUUUAAUCUAAUCUUGAUCUACUUCAGAUCACAAAGCAAUUAGAUUCUUCACUUGAUACCCCAAUUCCUCCAAAAUAGUCACAUUUAGCCCACCCUGCCAUGAAUAAGAGCAAAUGUCCUGAAUGUGACAGAAUUCUGUCUAAACAUCGAGGAGCAUUUGGAGAGCAGACAUUCAGCCUUGAACUUCAGAUGGUUCACUCGUCCACUGCCAGCUCUCACCACCAUCUGGUCUGAACAUGAGACCACUUUACUGCUGACACAGGGAAGGGGUCUUACAUCGUGAUGAUUGUUGUCCUGGCCAAACUGAGUCAGCAGGUAGAUCUCUUCUCUAUAAGUCGUUUCAUUAUUGUUAAAAAUGAGGCUUAAUGAGGCCAAGUAACAAUCAGUUUUAAUGAUGAAGUGAGCCUUGUGUGCCCACACAGUCAUAAGAGGGGCUCAGCACACCAGCCUGUGGAGUGCCAGUACUGGGGGUCAGUUUGGAGGAUGUGACGUUGCCAUUCACACAUCCUGAGGUGUGUUGGUUAGGACGUCCAAAACCCAACUGCAGUGGCACUGAGUCCUAAAUUGAGGAGUUUGGUCAUCAGGUCUGCCCAUCCAGCAGAAUGAAAUGCUGAGCUGUGGUCAGUUAACACGACUCUGACAGAACAGCAGGGCUUUGGACUUCAAUCUCAGUACUAACAUGUUGUGUCACUUGACCUGCCGGUGCUCCACAUGGAAAUACAAAAGAAAUGAAACAAAUUGGAUCUUAAAUGUUGAAGGUCACCCUGGAUAAAGGAGUGAGCCAAACAAUAAGUUUAGGGGAGACUUGUGUUCACACUGAGACAACACAAACGAUUGUCAGCAUUUGAUAAGUGAUGUGCGCUCGAUGUCAUGAUUUGUUCUGAUGUGAGGACCCCCUUGAUCAGGCCCUCCUUGGGGUCUCCAAGGUGUUUUAUUGUCUUCUAACUGGGAACAUUUCAGGAGCUUCUUGAACCUUUAAAAUGCCUUCCCCUUUGUUUUCUUUUAUCAGGAGCCCUGGUGGUCUCUUACAAGUAACGAUUCUUGUUUCCAGUCGUCUUUCUUCACAUCCUCGGUGUCCGUGUUUGUGUUAAUAUAAACUGUUUCUGUCUCAGCCCCUUUUUGUGUCUCUUUGAUGUUUUUCUUUUGUUAAAUACGUGUAUAUACAGUAUACAGUACAGUGGUCCGGAGCAGAGGUCUCAAAGCAGGGCUUGAGCUUUGAAGGGGUUUUGAAGUUUGGAUUUAAUGGCUGUUUUGGUGUUCAGUCCAGUGUUAUAAGGUUGGCAUUUUGUUAUAUGUGAAUUUCUCACAUUGCUGUCUUUAACUUUAAAAUAAUAAAAAGUAAUCAUGCAAAAAAAAGAAAAUCUAGUUUUUCCAGUUGAAAGUUCAGUGCCAUCACCAAGCCUUUAACAUACUUUUUGAGAAUUAGAGGACUGCUGAAUAGCUGAAGUCCAUAAAGUGUGUGUGUGUGGACAGCCGUGGUGUUGAGGGCACUGAAAUAGACAGCCUGAGCCUCCAUACUGUGAUGGGCACAGCAAUACGGUAAGUGGGGUCUGAUGGAAGGAGGCUUUAAUGGCAGCCUGCCCUCUAAAUGGUGUUUACACGCAGAGGAGCCUUCAUCAUGAGGUGGCAGGACUCUGUGAUGGACAAUUUUCAUUUUGUUUAGCUAAGGAGCAGGCUGUGAAAUGUUGUGAAUUAUGUGGUGAGAAUAAAAAUGUGAUUAUUUACUGUGCCAGCGAUCACACAACUGGAAAUCAUCUUCUCAAGGGACAGAGGAGACAGACAGGGAUGGAAAUUCACUCCUAAUUUGUCAUCUGCAUUGAAUCCUUACAGGAGAUACAUGAGAGUAGCAAGAGCAGGAUUUGGAGGAUCAUUUGGAGGAGGAGGAUUAGGAGCAGAAAAAGGAUUAGAAGGAUACGGAAAAUACGGAGGAUAAUCUUUCAGGACUUGGUAAAUUGGCCAAAAGGACCAAAUCAGACCAAUCGUUGCCAAGAAAGAAGAAGUCAAAGAAUGUCUAUUAGUUUAAAAUAAAACCAAACACAUUGCAGCAAACUA